GCACUUUAAGCGAGGAGGAGGCUACUGAAGUUAAUACCUUCAGAUAGUGGACGUUACUCGCAGAAUAAGCACCGGCUAACUCUGUGCCAGCAGCCGCGGUAAUACAGAGGGUGCAAGCGUUAAUCGGAUUUACUGGGCGUAAAGCGCGCGUAGGCGGCUAAUUAAGUCAAAUGUGAAAUCCCCGAGCUUAACUUGGGAAUUGCAUUCGAUACUGGUUGGCUAGAGUGUGGGAGAGGAUGGUAGAAUUCCAGGUGUAGCGGUGAAAUGCGUAGAGAUCUGGAGGAAUACCGAUGGCGAAGGCAGCCAUCUGGCCUAACACUGACGCUGAGGUGCGAAAGCAUGGGGAGCAAACAGGAUUAGAUACCCUGGUAGUCCAUGCCGUAAACGAUGUCUACUAGCCGUUGGGGCCUUUGAGGCUUUAGUGGCGCAGCUAACGCGAUAAGUAGACCGCCUGGGGAGUACGGUCGCAAAA
rnacentral:rRNA from 1 species